rnacentral:rRNA from 1 species
CAAUAGCGUAUAUUUAAGUUGUUGCAGUUAAAAAGCUCGUAGUUGGACUUCGGGUGGGACGCAGCGGUCUCGCAUUGCGUUUGUACUGCUGCAGCCCUCCUUCUUGCCGGGGGCGGCCUCUCGGACUUCACUGUCUGGGGGUCAGAAUCGGCGAUGUUACUUUGAGUAAAUUAGAGUGUUCAAAGCAAGCUUACGCUCUGAAUAUAAUAGCAUGGGAUAACACGACAGGACUCUGGCCUAUCGUGUUGGUCUAUAGGACCAGAGUAAUGAUUAAGAGGGACAGUCGGGGGCAUUCGUAUUCCGUUGUCAGAGGUGAAAUUCUUGGAUUUACGGAAGACGAACAUCUGCGAAAGCAUUUGCCAAGGAUGUUUNCAUUG